rnacentral:snoRNA from 1 species
AUCCUUUUGUAGUUUCUAAGCGAGAUGAUUGGGUGUUCACGCGCAUGUGUGAGAUGCGCCUUCCUCAAACCUUGCUACGACAUAGGCACAUGACCCUUCUGACA